UACGGAGGGAGCUAGCGUUAUUCGGAAUUACUGGGCGUAAAGCGCACGUAGGCGGCUUUGUAAGUAAGAGGUGAAAGCCCAGAGCUCAACUCUGGAAUUGCCUUUUAGACUGCAUCGCUUGAAUCAUGGAGAGGUCAGUGGAAUUCCGAGUGUAGAGGUGAAAUUCGUAGAUAUUCGGAAGAACACCAGUGGCGAAGGCGGCUGACUGGACAUGUAUUGACGCUGAGGUGCGAAAGCGUGGG
rnacentral:rRNA from 1 species